AUGAUAUGCAACUCUCAUACGCAUCGAAUCAGCAGAAGGAGCAGCACGCCGGCCGGUUCCAAGCAGCAGCGACGUUCCCUGUUUGGUCCUCGAUCGCCUGGCAACGUCGAUCGGCGGCAUGGCGCUACUGAAGCGCAGCUUCACCGCGGCGCUGCUCGACGAGGGCGACGACUCGUCGUACCCGUUGAAGAUGCCGGGCAGCCUCGCGCGCACCACCGCGCCGGUGGCCAAGAUGAUGCGGCUGUGGAACUACAAGCAAGGCUCGGGCCUCGGCGCGCACGGCCAGGGCAUCGUCGCCCCUAUAAAGGCCAUCCGGCAUUGCUCCACCGCCGGCAUCGGCCACUCCGAAACGACGUACAAGAACGGCCUGCAUGGCGCGCCGGCGCCGUCGCCGCCGGCCCAGGACGAGUGGCACGAGUCGGCGGCCGUCUCACGAGCCCUGCGCCUCGAACGGGACUGCUGCAAGAGGACCCUCGCGCUGCUGCGCGACGUGAAGCUUCAAGGCGACGACAGCGCGGAGACGGCGGAGGCGCUGGCGGCGGUCGUCAAGUCCGAGCGGGCGCUCCGGGGGAAGAAGCGUGCACUGGGAGCGUGGAGGGCUGCGUUGCCUGCUCCGACCGUCCAGCACACAUAGUUUUUAAUGCCAUAGCCCGCUAUUUAAAACAUUGCCAGCACAUCGUGGAGCUGGUUCUCACGCCGAGGAUCGCCGUGAAAGCGCGAGAGUGGGAGCCGUUGUGGAGCCCGGGCUGCGACCACUGGCUACGCCCGUGGAUCCCCUUGAUCGGACAUUUGCCGGAGAGCCUCUACGGCACCGUGGAGAGCAAGAUCAGCGACGGCUGCUACGACGUCAUCUCCCCAUGGAAAGACUACCUGGACCCGACGCAUUGGGAGAUCUUCUCCCGGCGUCACAUCUUGCCUAGGCUCACACGGUGGCUGCAACAGCUGAAGAUCACACCACCGAAGCAGCGCGACACUAAGUUCCGCGAGGUCAUGUCGUGGACGCCUCUCGUGCGCACCGAGGACGUGGUGUCGAUCCUGGAGCAGGAGUUUUUCGGCAAAUGGGAGAGCGCGCUGCGCCACUGGCUGCAGUCCGCGAGGCCGUCGUCGGGGGAGGCCGCGGCCUGGUGCGCCGGCUGGAAGAACCUCUUCGCCCCGGAGCUGCUCGAGAACGCGUGGUCGCAUGGCUGGAGUCUGGCGUUGCCAUGGUGGAUCGAGAAGCGGAAGACCUCGGCCGUCUUGUUUGUCAAAGUUGAUACAACAGCUUGUAAGAUUGUAGACUUGUAG
rnacentral:rRNA from 1 species